GACGAACGCUGGCGGCGUGCUUAACACAUGCAAGUCGAACGGAAAGGCCCUGCUUUUGUUGGUUUCUCGAUUGGCGAACGGGUGAGUAACACGUGAGUAACCUGCCCUUGACUUUGGGAUAUCUUCAGGAAACUGGGUCUCAUACCGGAUAUGAUCUCCUGCUGCAUGUUGGUGGUUGGAAAGUUUCGGCGGUUGUGGAUGUACUCGCUGCUUAUCAGCUUGUUUGUGUGGUAGUUGCUGUCCAAGGGUUUGACGGGUAGCCGGCCUGGGAGGGUUAACGGCGACAAGGGGACUGAGAGAGGCAGCAGACGCGUAUGGGAGGCAGAAGGGGGGAGUAUUACGCAAUGGGCGGAAGCGAGAGGCAGCAACGCCGGGAGCGGGAAGAUGGCUUACGGGUGGUAAACAGAUGUCGAAUGUGACGAAGAGUGAGUGACGGUAAUGGGUAAAGAAGCACCGGCUAACUACGUG
rnacentral:rRNA from 1 species